AUACUUACCCUGCAGACCGAGAUACCAUGAUCAUGAAGGUGGUUCUCCCAGGGUGAGGCUCAUCCGCUGCACUUCGGAUGUGCUGACCCCUGGGAUUUCCCCACAUGUGGGCAAACUGGACCGCAUAAUUUGCUGUAGUGGGAGGAGUACGUUUGCGCUCUUA
rnacentral:snRNA from 1 species